GAUGAACGCUGGCGGCGUGCUUAACACAUGCAAGUCGAACGGAAAGGCCCAAGCUUGCUUGGGUACUCGAGUGGCGAACGGGUGAGUAACACGUGGGUGAUCUGCCCUGCACUUCGGGAUAAGCCUGGGAAACUGGGUCUAAUACCGGAUAGGACGAUGGUUUGGAUGCCAUUGUGGAAAGUUUUUUCGGUGUGGGGUGGGCUGGGGGCGUAUCCGCUUGUUGGGGGGGUAGUGGCCUACCAAGGCGUCGACGGGGAGCCGGCCUGAGAGGGUGUAGGGCCGGACUGGGAUCGUGAGAGAGGCCAGACUCGGGCGGGAUGGAGAAGGGGGGAAAAUUGGACAAAGGGCGACAGCCUGAGGGAGCGAGGCCGCGGGGGGGAUGACGGCCUUCGGGUUGUAAACUACUUUCGCUAGGGACGAAGCGUUUUUGUGACGGUACCUGGAGAAGAAGCACCGGCUAACUACGUG
rnacentral:rRNA from 1 species